rnacentral:rRNA from 1 species
CACGUAGGGCGCAAGCGUUGUCCGGAAUUAUUGGGCGUAAAGAGCUCGUAGGCGGUCUGUUGCGUCCGCUGUGAAAACUCGGGGCUUAACCCCGAGCCUGCAGUGGAUACGGGCAGACUAGAGGUAGGUAGGGGAGAAUGGAAUUCCCGGUGUAGCGGUGAAAUGCGCAGAUAUCGGGAGGAACACCGGUGGCGAAGGCGGUUCUCUGGGCCUUACCUGACGCUGAGGCACGAAGGCCAGGGGAGCAAACGGG